rnacentral:rRNA from 1 species
AUUGAACGCUGGCGGCAUGCCUUACACAUGCAAGUCGAACGGUAACGGGCCUUCGGGUGCCGACGGGUGGCGAACGGGUGAGUAAUACAUCGGAACGUGCCCGAUCGUGGGGGAUAACGAGGCGAAAGCUUUGCUAAUACCGCAUACGAUCUACGGAUGAAAGCAGGGGACCGCAAGGCCUUGCGCGGACGGAGCGGCCGAUGGCAGAUUAGGUAGUUGGUGGGAUAAAAGCUUACCAAGCCGACGAUCUGUAGCUGGUCUGAGAGGAUGAUCAGCCACACUGGGACUGAGACACGGCCCAGACUCCUACGGGAGGCAGCAGUGGGGAAUUUUGGACAAUGGGCGCAAGCCUGAUCCAGCCAUGCCGCGUGCAGGAUGAAGGCCUUCGGGUUGUAAACUGCUUUUGUACGGAACGAAAAGCCUUCUUUUAAUACAGGAGGGUCAUGACGGUACCGGAAGAAUAAGCACCGGCUAACUACGUG